rnacentral:rRNA from 1 species
CCUACGGGUGGCAGCAGUGGGGAAUAUUGGGCAAUGGAGGCAACUCUGACCCAGCAACGCCGCGUGAAUGAUGAAGGUCUUCGGAUUGUAAAGUUCUGUGAUGGGGGAUGAACACAAUGACGGUACCCCACUAGCAAGCCACGGCUAACUACGAGCCAGCAGCCGCGGUAAUACGUAGGUGGCAAGCGUUAUCCGGAAUUACUGGGCGUACAGGGGGCGUAGGGGGUUUAGUCAGGUGGCGGUGUAAUUCCGGGGCUCAACCUCGGCGCUACCGCCAAAACGAGGAGCCUAGAGUGGAGGGGGGGUAAGUGGAAUUCCUAGUGUAGCGGUGGAAUGCGUAGAUAUUACGAGGAACACCAGGGGCGAAGGCGACUUACUGGACUGUAACUGACGCUGAGGCACGAAAGCGUGGGGAGCAAACAGGAUUAGAUACCCUUGUAGUC